ACCUAAGUAGCCUAGCAAUCAAGGCCCUGGGCUUAGAGUCAAGAAGGCUUGAGUUCAAAUCCCACCUUAGACA
rnacentral:tRNA from 1 species